CCUACGGGAGGCAGCAGUGAGGAAUAUUGGUCAAUGGACGAGAGUCUGAACCAGCCAAGUAGCGUGAAGGAUGACUGCCCUAUGGGUUGUAAACUUCUUUUAUAUGGGAAUCAAACGUUCCACGUGUGGGAUUUUGUAUGUACCAUAUGAAUAAGUAUCGGCUAACUCCGUGCCAGCAGCCGCGGUAAUACGGAGGAUCCGAGCGUUAUCCGGAUUUAUUGGGUUUAAAGGGAGCGUAGGUGGAUUGUUAAGUCAGUUGUGAAAGUUUGCGGCUCAACCGUAAAAUUGCAGUUGAAACUGGCAGUCUUGAGUACAGUAGAGGUGGGCGGAAUUCGUGGUGUAGCGGUGAAAUGCUUAGAUAUCACGAAGAACUCCGAUUGCGAAGGCAGUUCACUGGACUGCAACUGACACUGAGGCUCGAAAGUGUGGGUAUCAAACAGGAUUAGAUACCCGUGUAGUC
rnacentral:rRNA from 1 species